rnacentral:tRNA from 1 species
GCGGUAUUGGUAUAACGGCUAUUACGGAACCUUGCCAAGGUUCAAACACGAGUUCGACUCUCGUAUACCGCU